AUGGAAGAGGCGGCGGGGGAAGGUAGAUCGCAGCAGGAGGAUACACUAGAUGAGAAGCUGAAAUACCUGAACCUAAGGGAAGACGAAGAAGAAGAUGUGAUCUUGGAGGAGGAUCUGGAGGAGUUGGAGAAGGAUGCUGAAUUCAUGGUGAUAGCUAGGGUUCAUACGGCGAGAAAAUUUAGCCAUGGGGCUUUCUAUGGAGCGAUGAGAUCUGCGUGGAACCUUGCGCAAGUGGUCGAAUUCAGAGCUUUAGAGGAUAAUCUGUUCUCUGUGCAAAUCGUGUGUCUAGUGGAUUGGGAAAGAGUCAUGCAGGACGGACCAUGGAUAUUCCGCAACUGUCCAGUGUUAAUUGCUCUGUAUGAUGGGUGGUCGGAGCCAACUGAGGUGGAGCUGAAUACCUACCAGGCGUGGGUGAGGGUGAUGGGAUUGAAGGAGAAGAUGAGAAGUGCGAAUAUAGCGUGA
rnacentral:rRNA from 1 species